rnacentral:lncRNA from 10 species
AGGAGAUUCAAUGUGCAGUUCUGAGAAGGGAUUCAGUGUGCCGUUGCUGGCUCUGAGAAGUAGGAGCCUUGUGCAAGGAUUCAGGAGAGGCCUCUAGAAACUGAGGAUGGCCCUCAACUGGCAAGCACAGGCAACUGAAUUCGGCCAGGCAUCUGGGUCCUGUGCUAGGGGCUAGGAAGACAAAGAGAAACAGAGUCACAUCCUCCCACAAAAAUCCAUGAGAUGUCGGAGAGCCGAACUUGUAAACAGCCAUCAUCAACACAAAGAAGGAUGCACUGAUGCUCUCUAGAGGCUCACAGGAAAUGAUUCAUGGGCAUAGAGGUGUGCAAUUUGCUUCCUGCCCCAGCCCUGACCCUGAGAUGCAGCAUGGAGGGAGUAGAGGGGUGGGGUUUGCGAAGUCACUUCCAGUCAUCGUGGGACCUUUAUGGAAACCUGGGCUCCACUCCACAGGAUGAGUCUCAACUGGAACCCUUGCCCAUUGGGCUCACUGUUCCAAUCUAAAGGGCAGGCUUUCCACUACUCUUUGGGACUUGUAGUUUGUGGGUUUUUUUCACAUGCACAUCAUCUUACUUACAGUUCCCCAAGAAUAAAAGCUUUCCAUCUCAAUUCUGGGCACUCUAAGUUUACCUGUAUUUCCUUUUCACUUUAAACAAAGGUAGUCAUAGGAGCCCGUCAUUUCCCAUGACUCAGGGAAUUGAGUUCAUGUUGCUUGCCUUGUGAGUGCUUACAGCCUGUAUGUCAUAGCAUUUAGAAAUGUCACUGAACCUAGGUUCGGCUGCUCGCUCCUUGAGAGCCAAACUGGAGACACAAGAGUUGGUCGGAGGAGAAGUAGGUUUAUGAGGAGCUGGCAACCUGAGGAGAUGGUGGGCUAGUGUCACAAAGACCAUCUCGAAUUUCUCAGGCUGGCCAGGGGUGUUAUGCGAGGGGGAGUCUGGGGGAAUUAUGUACAAGAGCUGAAUACAUGCUGGUCAGUCUGUCUAGUCUCAAUGACUGUCUUGAAUAAUGGGCCACCUGGUGGUCUGGCUGGCAUUAGCUUGAUUGCAACAGGAAUACAGAUGAACGGCUCAGCCUUCUUUCCAGAGUGGGAUGUUCUGCAACCUGGAUUCCAUGCUUAGCGUUUCAGGUCAGUCCCUGCAGUUCUUUAAGCAAAG